rnacentral:lncRNA from 1 species
AUUUUUUUUUCCACCUCCAUCCAUCAAAAGGCAGCGAGGGGUUCAUUAUGUAUGCAUGAUUUCCUCUGCAACUCAUUAAUAUGCAAAUGUAUGCAGCUGUUAGUUGCUAAAUUAAAAAUGCAAAGCAGCCCUUCUGCUGGGGCUGCAAAUUGGAGGCUUUGGAACGGUUGGGAAAGGGAAAAAUGGGGAAAAAAACCCCAAAAAAUCCCCUAAAAAAUCCCCAAAACUUCCCUCAAAAUUCCCAUAAAUAUCCCAAUAAAGUCCCCAAAAAAUUCCCAUAAAAAUCCCCCAAAAAUCCCUAAAAAAAGCCCCAAAAAUUCCCAUAAAAUUCCCAUUAAAAUCCCCAGAAAAUCUCCUUGAAAUGCCCCAAAAUUCCUAUAAAAACCCCAUAAAAAUCCCCAAAACCACCCAAGGAAUUCCCAUUAAAAUCCCAUAAAAUCUGAUUGAAAUCCUAUUAAAUUCCCAUUGAAUCCCCCAAAAUCCUGAAAAUUCCCAUAAAAAACCCCAAAAAAUUCCCAUAAAAAUCCCCCAAAAUUCCCAUAAAAUUCUCAUUAAAAUCCCCUUAAAAUCCCCCAAAAUUCCCAUUAAAAUCCCCCCAAAAAUCCCAGAAAAUUCCCAUUAGUAUACCAAAAAAAAUCCCUUAAAAAUCCCAUAAAAUCUGAUAAAAAUCCCCAAAAAAAUCCCAUCAGAAUUCCCAUAAAAUUCCCCAAAAAAUUCCCAGUAAAAUCUGAUUGAAGUCCCAUAAAAUUAAAAAAUAAUCCCCCAAAAAUUCCCAUUAAAAUCCUAUUAAAAACCCCAUUAAAAAUAAAAAAAAAUUCCUCAUAAAAAUCCCAUUAAAAUUCCAUAAAAAUCCUAAAAAAAUCCCCAAAUAAUUCCCUAAAAAUCCCAAAAAAAAAUUCUCAUAAAAUUUCCUGAAUUUCCCCCAAUUUUUCCCCAAUAAAUUCCCAAAUUUUGGGAAUUUUCGGGGCUGUUUUUUGCAAUUCCCUCCAUGUCCACAAGAGGGCGCCCUGGUCCAGUUAAACCCCAAAAAAUUCCCUAAAAAAUUCCCCAAAAAAAUCCCAAAAAAAUCCCCAAAAUUUUUCCAAAAUUUCCCAAAAAUUCCAGAAAAAAUCCCCAAAAAAUUCAAAAAAAUUCCCCAAAAAAUCCCCAAAAAAUCCCAAAAAUUCCCAAAAAAUCCCAAAAAAAAUCCAAAAAAUCCCCAAAAAAAUCCCAAAAAAAACUUCAAAAAAUCCCCCUUAAAAUCCCAUAAAAAUCCCAAAAAAAUCCCCAAAAAAUCCCAUAAAAAUCCCCUAAAAAUCCCCUAAAAAAUCCCAAAAAACUUCAAAAAAUCCCCCAAAAAUCCCAUUUAAAAUCCCAUAAAAAUCCCCACAAAUUACCCCAAAAAAUUCCAUUAAUACCCUAUAAAAAUCCCAUAGAAUCCAAUAAAAAUCCCACAAAAUCCCCUCA